AAAGUAUCCACUGCCAUAUACACCAAGCACGUAAUGACUGGGUAAUAAUAUUAAACGUCUAUGACUAUAAACGUUAAGUCCAUAGUGCUUAGUCUUUAGUGCACAGUACAACAUAUUACAGUCGAUACACAUUAAACAAAUGUACUGAUUGAUACAUAAUGAAUCUCUUUCUAUAAAAUCCAUAAUGAACAAAACAAAAUGUGUCAUUAUUCAUGUGAAUUAAUGGGAUAGUCAUUAUAAUACAUUGUUUAACGCCUGUAUUUAUUUGAUAAUUAUACUAAGAAAUUGAUUACAACUUCUGGACAUACAAUACACCACAAAUGAUGCUAUAAAAAAUCUAUUUAGCAAUGACCUUUAUGUACUUGAACUAUAAUAUUUAAUGGCUGUAGCUAUAUUCAAUCACAUCAUUAAAUUUUUGUUAAUUAAAAUAGAAUAAUCAAAUGUAUUUACUAAACUAACA